rnacentral:tRNA from 1 species
GGGACUAACGCUGGGAGGUUGAGUCUCUUUUCUGA